rnacentral:rRNA from 1 species
AGAACGAACGCUGGCGGCAUGCCUAACACAUGCAAGUCGAACGAUGCUUUCGGGCAUAGUGGCGCACGGGUGCGUAACGCGUGGGAAUCUGCCCUUGGGUUCGGAAUAACAGUGGGAAACUACUGCUAAUACCGGAUGAUGACGUAAGUCCAAAAGAUUUAUCGCCCAGGGAUGAGCCCGCGUAGGAUUAGCUAGUUGGUGAGGUAAUGGCUCACCAAGGCGACGAUCCUUAGCUGGUCUGAGAGGAUGAUCAGCCCACACUGGGACUGAGACACGGCCCAGACUCCUACGGGAGGCAGCAGUGGGGAAUAUUGGACAAUGGGCGCAAGCCUGAUCCAGCAAUGCCGCGUGAGUGAUGAAGGCCUUAGGGUUGUAAAGCUCUUUACCAGGGAUGAUAAUGACAGUACCUGGAGAAUAAGCUCCGGCUAACUCCGCGCCAGCAGCCGCGUAA